rnacentral:rRNA from 1 species
GUAGGUGGCAAGCGUUGUCCGGAAUUAUUGGGGCGUAAAGCGCGCGCAGGCGGUUCUUUAAGUCUGAUGUGAAAGCCCACGGGCUCAACCGUGGAGGGUCAUUGGAAACUGGAGAACUUGAGUACAGAAGAGGAAAGCGGAAUUCCACGUGUAGCGGUGAAAUGCGUAGAGAUGUGGAGGAACACCAGUGGCGAGGGCGGCUUUCUGGUCUGUAACUGACGCUGAGGCGCGAAAGCGUGGGGAGCAAACAGGAUUAGAUACCCUGGUAGUCCACGCCGUAAACGAUGAGUGCUAAGUGUUAGGGGGUUUCCGCCCCUUAGUGCUGCAGCUAACGCAUUAAGCACUCCGCCUGGGGAGUACGGCCGCAAAGGCUCG